CCCAGCAGCGGGGGUGCCUGGCCCGGGGCGACAGGUUGAGGUGGGCGAAGGCGAGCGGGAUCCCGCGGGACGCGCACCCGCUCCCGCCGCGGGGGCGGGCAGGGCCCCGUGGGGAGCCGCCACCCUCCGGCGCCGCCUGCGGGGCCCGGCCCGGCCGCCCCGCGCUCCCGGCUUGUGCUGCGGGGCACGGUCCCGCCUCGAAACCUUUGAGCCCCGCCGAAACGCCCGCUGCAACUUCCGCGUCGCCGGCGGCGUCGGGCCGGCCGCGGAGCCCUCCACGACGCCGCCGCCGCCGGGGACGCGGAGCGGGGGCGGCCGGUCCAGCCCUGCCCGCCGCCGCGCCCCGCUCCCACCGAAGCCGGAGGCGGUGGGGAAGUGGGAAGUCCCAGAAAAGCAGGUCCCGGGUACCUCCCUCAGGUGAGGGAGCCGGGCGCAGGGCUCCGGCUCCGGCUCCCGCUCCGCUCGUCGCCGCUGCCCAGGGAGGGAGCAGGUAGCUGAAGAUCUCCCUCCCUCCCUGCCUGCCUCCUCCCCUCCCCCGAGACGGGCAGCUCCAAUCCUGCAGAAACGCCUGAAACUGUUUCAGACCAAGGUUGUGUCCGCAUUACUCCCAGCUCAACCUUGUUGCUCCGAAGUGGAAAGCCAAGGAGUGAGUAGCUGCCACUGGAAGGCUGCAGCCUUCAGUAAGGAAUAACUCUUCUCUGGCCCAGCAGUUCAGUCUGCUGUGUGUCACAAGGCCGGCAAAAAGCACCGCACCAGAUCACAGAAAACCCUGAGAAACUUGUGGCCUUCUCCUUUCCCUUCCUCCUCAAGGCAAUUUCGGCGACCAACAUUUGGAACUGAAUCCAAGGAAGUUAUCAGAGACCCUUCCCCAUCAGCCCAUCAGAACAGUGUCAGGACUGAUGACUACCUUCACUUGCACAGUGUCGUGGCUUGGUGGGCCGCGUUUUGCUAAAGCCACCAGUUUGAUCCAAUCAGAAGUCUACUUUGUUACGUACGUCCACAAAGGAGAUAGUUCACCUUACAGUGUCAUUAAUUACGUGCUUAUUUCACAUAUUGGACCUCCCUAACCUGGUUUUGUUAUUGUGCUCAGUCUUGUUUCGUAUGUACACACCUUUAAAAAGUUAAUUUUCUCUCCUGCGCCUAUGCACCUCAACCCCGAAAAAAAAUGACUUCUAACAAGCACAUAUGUUUGUCAAUAGAGCUUUAGAAACA